rnacentral:rRNA from 1 species
AACUGGGAUUAGAUACCCCACUAUGCUUAGCCCUAAACAUAGAUUUAAUGACCCCAUUAAAUCCGCCAGGAAAUUACGAACAUUAGUUUAAAACCCAAAGGACUUGGCGGUGCCUUAUACCCCCCUAGAGGAGCCUGUUCUA